CCACACUUCUUCUAUUUUGAUGACCAAGCAUCUCCAGAAGCUACAGUUUGGGACACAAUGGCAGAAGGAUAACAGGGACUCCCCAAAAGGACUGACUAUUCAGGUGUUGCUUUCCUUCUUCCUUUAAGAAGUCUUUCCAAUUGCUUUGUCACCGCCCCUGAGCAGAUGUCAGAGGAGGACAGCUACUUAGAGGUCUGGAGCCCAGGUCUCAUCUGCACACACAAGAGGACCAGAGAAGGAGACACAGGGCAGGCUUUCCAAGGACGUCUUUUGAAACCGACAUCCUAGGAUGCCCUCUUCUCCUUCUCAGUACCCACCUGUCACAAACCUCUUCAUCUUUUCAGGCCUGCCCUAUGAGUCUUUGUGGUUCCACCUGCCAAGAAAAACUGAAGUUCACAGCAGCGGCAGCAUGUUCUUGAAGAACACAAUCAUUGAGAUGCAACCCUGGCUCUCUGCAAACCAUACCUUAAAGAAGGAUGCUUUACAGGGAGCAUCCAAGGAUAAUUCAUGUCCACAGUCAUACCACCCUGGAAGACUCUCCUUUCUAAACAGUAGGGGCUCAGUGAAUGGCACUUCCUUCCUCCAAGUCUUAAGUAAGUGGAAACAAGAGCCUUGUAAAAUGAUUUCUCUUUUCAUGCUGCUGUGUGGAAAAUGAUCAGCAGAUGGCAGCACAGAGCUUUUCAGACUCCUAACCUGCCAAUUUCAGGUAUAAUGGGACAAAAGUGGGACUUUUCCUUUCUCCAGACUCUUCUGUUCCUGCCUCCGGAAUGCCCACUCUCCAGUUUGAAGCAUUCAACUUUCUACUCCUCUGAUGAAAAACUGUACUGAGCAUCUGCAGAAGCUGCAGUGGGACAGAGUGGCAGGUGGAGAGCCUAGGGACUCCCCACAAGGACUGAACCUCUUUACUCUCUAGGAAGGCCUGACAUGCAGAUUCCCAGGGCAGGCCUGUGGUGCAGGGGCCCCGAAGGCAGCUUUCUUUGGUUCCUGUUUUCACUUGUGGCAACCGAGGUUUAGCGAGGUAAGAUGAUGUGCUCUGGGACACACAGCAAGUGCAGGUUUUCUGACUCCUAAUUCAGUGUAUCAUGUUAGCUUGACCACAUUAAUUCUCAAAGGCAGAAUCUCCCGUGAAGGCAUUUUCAGCCUGUGUGUGUGUAUAUAUAUAUAUAUAUGAAAGGUAAAAAGCAGUCCAAAAUACUAUAGUGUGAAUAAAGCAACAUACAGGAAAGCGUGUUGGCCCUCAGAGGAACACAGGGUAGCAUUUGGCGGGGUGCGGAAAGGGAAGAACCAAGAGCUCAGGGAAGCUUUCCUGGCCAGAGCAGAGCGCACGCUCAACAACGGUUGAGAUGAACACAAGACAAAGAGCAGUGGUGGAAAUUCUAGGUCCGGAGGGCAAAUGUGUAGCCUGGGCUUGCUGCUUUCUUUGACCUCCGACCCUUCCACCCCCCAACCCCUGCCCAGGACAGACAUCACUAAGCAACUCUGGGAUGCUUUCCCACGGAGCUCAGGGCCUGCCAGAGCCCUUUGCAGCACUGCCCUCCAAGCAGUCCGAGCCAACCAAUAAGAGACAGCACAUCACAUAAAGCCUCUUUGGUUUUCCUCACCUGCUGCCUAGCCUCCCUGCCAGUUUUCUGAUGCUGCUACACAGACAAUGACCAGGAGAUGGCAGCACUGAGCUUUCCCGGCUCCUAACUUCCAAUUGCAUGUGUAAAGAGAAGAAAAGUUAGGUUUUCUUUUCCAUUCUUCAAACUCUGCUUUCAGUGCCUCCAUGUGAAGCACCUCAGGUAGUCUUCUGCCCCGGAAGCUGCCACAGCUGCUGGAAUACUUCCAUGGGAAUCCUAGGGUUCCUCUUUCUUAAAGUUGGGGGAGACUACAUAGGCAGGUGUUGGUUUGCUUCUUCCUUCAAGAAGUCUUUCCAGUCCCUCUGUCCCCGGCCCUGAGCAGAUGUCAGAGGAGGACAGCUACUUAGAGAUCUGGAGCCCAGGUCUCAGCUGCACACACAAGGGAACCAGACAAGGGGACAUAUUGCAGGCUUUUCAGGGGUGUAUUUUGAACCUUGCAUUCUAAGCUGCCUAAUAUACCCUCUUCUCCUUCUCAGCGCCACCUGUAAAAAAGUCUCUUCAUCUUUUAAGGCCAUCCCUACAAUUCUUUGUGCAUCCACCUGCUGAAAGAACCGAAGUUCAGAGCAGAGGCAGGAUGUGCUUGAAGAACGCAGCCAUUGAGACCCUCCCCAGGCUCUCUGGAAUUCACGCCUUCUUUAUAGGCAGCAACCAAGGAUAAUUCAUGUCUGCAUUCAUACCACCCUGGAAGACCAUCAGCAUGUGCUUAACAAAUGUCACUUCCUUCCUGCAGGUCCUUAGGUAAGUUGAAGCAAGAGCCUUGCAAAACUUUCCCUUUUGAUGCGGCUGUGCAGAAAAUGACCAGCAGAGGGAAGCACUGAGCAUUCUGGACCCCCGACUUGCCAGUGCUGUGUGUAAGGGGAGAGAAGGUGACUUUUCUUUUCCAUUCCCCAAAUUCUGCUGUCUCUUUCUCCAGAAUGUCUACUGCACCUGUUUGAAGCACCUAUCCUUCUACGCCUUGGAUGAAAAACUACCCAGCUUGGUAGAAGCUGCAGUGGGACACAGCAGCAGGAGGAGAGCUCAGGGACUCACCACAAGGCCUGAACAGGUUUACUCCCCAGGGAGGCCGGGCACGCAGAUUCCCAGGGCAGGCCUGCCGUGCAGGGGCCCGGAAGGCAGCUGACUUAGGUUCCUGCUUUCCCUUUUGGACCCUUUUGGAGGCUCAGAGAGGCAAUUGAUGUGCCUGGGGACACACAGCAAGGUCUGGACUCUGAAUCCUGAGUGAGGGCACCACGCUAGCUUUGCCACAUUAACUCUCAAAGGCAUGGCCUACCCUGCUCGCAUUUUCAACCUGUAUAUGCAGGCAGGAGAUCUGAAAGAUAGAAAGUAAUCCAAAAUAGUAUAUUGUGGGGUGGGGGGAUUAUCAUACCUAUGAGCACAUGCACGCGUGUGUGGAUCCACACGUAUGUGUGCCCAGCCUUCCUCACACGCCCCAAGCUGUCUGUGCUGGUGAUGAAUGUACUCUUCCUCCUUAGCUGCACACUCACCCCGCAUGACUGCUCCGUGAAGGUGGGCAGACUUGUCCCGAGCCUCUCUCCCUGCCAGUGAGCAUAACGUGAGCUAUAACUGUCGAGGGAGCUGGGAGAACCCUGCAGGAGGAAGGGGCUUCUUGGGCUGGUUUUGGCAGGUGUUGGGGCUCCUGGGGUGCCCUGCCUUGGCCCCGUGCCAGAGACCCCACAGACCUGCGUGGCCCGGCCAUCACGUCCCCAUGCCCUUCCCCACACAGACACUGUGCGUUCAUGUCCCCUGCCCACAUGCCACCUGACUCUGUCUCCAGGCUCACAUCCCCACCCACCAGGCUGUGGCUCCCGGGGGGCCUGUGGCCAUGACGCCUUUUCCAACCAGGUCUGACCCCCAUGCUGAGCAGGGGGCAUGGGGCAUCCACGUUUCUCCUUCCAUGGGGCCUUGUCCUCAGCUGAAGGGAGAGAGUAGCCUUAUAGUGUUCUGUUUAUAGCCUCUAUUUAUUCUUUUAUCAGAGCAUAAUAUUCUUUAUAUUGUACUUCCAUUUCUUAUUUUUUUAAUUGAAGUAUACUUGAAUUACAACUAUAUGUUAAUUUCUGCUGUACAGCAAAGUGAUAAAGUUAUACAUACGUGUGCAGUCUUCUAUAUAUUCUUUUCCAUUAUAAUUUAUAGAGGAUAUUGAAUAUAGUUCUCUCUACUAUACAUAGGGGUUUGUUUUUUAUCCCUCCUAUGUGUAACAGUUUGCAUCUACUAUCCUUCAACUCAUAGUUCAUCCCUUCCCCACUCCCUCUUCCUUGUCAACUGCAAGUCGGUUUUAUGUAUCUGUGAGUCAUUUCUGUUUUGUAGAUAGGUUCUUUUUUGCCAUAUUUUAGAUUCCACAUAGAAGUAUAUUAUUUUGUGUUUUCCUUUCUCUUUCUGGCAUCACUUUGUAUAAUGAUAUUUAGGUUUAUCAUUGUUUCUGCCAAUGGCAUUAUUUCUUCUUUUUCAUGGCUGAAUUGUAUUCCACUGUGUGUGUGCUUUUCUAUGUACAUGCAUGCCACAUCUUCUUUAUCCAUUCAUUCAUUAACGGACCUUUAAGUUGUUUCCACAUCUUGACUGUUAUGAAUAGCAGUGCUAUGAAAAUAGGGGUGCAUGUAUCUUUUUAAAUUAUAGUUUUGUCUGAUAAAUGUUCAGGAGUGGGAUUGCUAGGUCAUAUAGUAAUUCUGUCUUUAGUUUUCUGAAGAAUUUCCAUACUGUUUUCUAUAGUGCUUGUGCCAACUUACAUUUCCCACCAACAGUGCAAGAGGAUUCUCUUUUCUCCACUCCCUUUCCAGCAUAUGUUAUUUGUUAUUGACUUUUUAAUGGGGUUCAUUUUGACCAGUAUGAGUUGGUCUCCCACUGUAGUUUUGAUUUGCAUUUCUCUUAUAAUUAGUGUUAUUGAACAUCUUGUCAUGUGCCUAUUGGCUUCUGUAUAUCUUCUUUGGAAAAAUGCCUUUUUAGUUCUUCUGUUCACUUUUUAUUUGGGUUGUUUGGUUUUUGUUGUUGAGUUCUAUGUGUUUUUUGGAUAUUUUGGAAUUUAAGCCCUUAUCUGCCACAUUCUUGUAAAUAUUUUUUCUCAUUCCAUAGGUUGUCUUUUUAUUUCAUGGUUUCCUUUGCUGUACAAAAGCUUGUAAGUUUGAUUAGGUCCCAUUUGUUGGUUUCUGUUUUUAUUUCUAUUGCCGUGGGAGACUCUCCUAAGAAAACAUCGGUGCGACUUUAUAUCAGAGAACUAAACUUACAUUUGUUAAACCUGUGUAUGGUUCUGCCUCCCAAUUUUUCCCCAACUGGUACUUGUGAGCCCUCAAAUAUUAAGAUCUACCAUACCUAGUUCCAGAUAAGACAAAAAUAUAAAACUUUCAGCUCAUUGCUUAGCAUGCAGAGAGUAGGCAGUCUAAGUUGUUGUGUUACCGCGGUUAUCUUGGCCAUGGAGAUCAGCUUCCCUGUUACCAAAAAGGGUUGGCAACUCUGGACAAUCUCCCUUUCUUAGUUCCUCUUGCCUAUUUAGCCUGACCUGCAUUCUCUCCUGGUGUUGCAGUCAAAUAAUAAGCCAUCAGAGCUGUCAUUUACAGAGCACAUACUUCAAAUGCUGUGCCAAAGAUUUUAUACAUAUUAUUAGCCCCAUUUUGCAGAUGGAAAAAAAAAAAAAAA
rnacentral:lncRNA from 1 species